rnacentral:rRNA from 1 species
UCCGUAGGGGGCAAGCGUUGUCCGGAUUUAUUGGGCGUAAAGAGCGUGUAGGCGGCCAGACAGGUCUGCUGUGAAAACUCGAGGCUCAACCUCGAGACGCCGGUGGAAACCGUUUGGCUAGAGUCCGGAAGAGGAGAGUGGAAUUCCUGGUGUAGCGGUGAAAUGCGCAGAUAUCAGGAAGAACACCCGUGGCUAAGGCGGCUCUCUAGUACGGUACUGACGCUGAGACGCGAAAGCGUGGGGAGCGAACAGG